rnacentral:rRNA from 1 species
CAUGGCUAAUACCGCAUGAUGCCUACGGGCCAAAGAGGGGGACCUUCGGGCCUCUCGCGUCAGGAUAUGCCUAGGUGGGAUUAGCUAGUUGGUGAGGUAAGGGCUCACCAAGGCGACGAUCCCUAGCUGGUCUGAGAGGAUGAUCAGCCACACUGGAACUGAGACACGGUCCAGACUCCUACGGGAGGCAGCAGUGGGGAAUAUUGCACAAUGGGCGCAAGCCUGAUGCAGCCAUGCCGCGUGUGUGAAGAAGGCCUUCGGGUUGUAAAGCACUUUCAGUCGUGAGGAAGGCGGUGACGUUAAUAGCGGAUUCAUUUGACGUUAGCGACAGAAGAAGCACCGGCUAACUCCGUGCCAGCAGCCGCGGUAAUACGGAGGGUGCGAGCGUUAAUCGGAAUUACU